rnacentral:rRNA from 1 species
AUUGAACGCUGGCGGCGUGCCUAACACAUGCAAGUCGAGCGGGAUUCAUGAGAACGAAACUUCGGUCUAGAAAUCAUGAUGAGAGCGGCGGACGGGUGAGUAACGCGUAGGCAACCUGCCCUUAGCACAGGGAUAGCCUCGGGAAACCGGGAUUAAAACCUGAUAAUGCCAAACAGCCACAUGGCUGUUUGGCCAAAGAUUUAUCGGCUAAGGAUGGGCCUGCGUCUGAUUAGUUAGUUGGUGGGGUAACGGCCUACCAAGACGACGAUCAGUAGCCGACCUGAGAGGGUGAUCGGCCACAUUGGAACGGAGACACGGUCCAAACUCCUACGGGAGGCAGCAGUGGGGAAUAUUGCACAAUGGGCGAAAGCCUGAUGCAGCAACGCCGCGUGAGCGAUGAAGGCCUUUGGGUCGUAAAGCUCUGUCCUAGGGGACGAACACAAUGACGGUACCCUUGGAGGAAGCCCCGGCUAACUACGUGCCAGCCGCCGCAGUAAUAC